GUAGGGGUAGGAAGCCUUGCGUAACGGGCCUAUGGAACGGAAUGUGAACAUAGGCAGAAUGGUCCAUGACCGACGUUUGGUUUCCGCAUUCACCAUC
rnacentral:ncRNA from 2 species